AUUCCGAACUGGAAUACUAGGAAAAGACAAAGAAAGGAGAGGAAGAAUAGAAUUUGAACUUCACCUAUUCUAUUUCGCCCAUUACUUGUCACCUGCGUUGAAAGCACAGACCACGGAAAGGAAUACAAAAACCCAAUACAUGCUGAUAUAGGUUAUAGUGAAGCAUUCUCCUUUAGUUAAACCACCGAAGCUUUCUUCAGCAACCAUCUCCAGUAUUCUUCACAGCGAGGUGCCCUGUCACUCCACUUGUCAUAUCUUUCCUAACCGGACCUGACUCACCCAAAGUACGCCGCAGAACCUCCUCUCCGCCUCUUGCAACACGUCGGACCACCAGGGGAAUCUCAGUGACACCGUUGACCAUUUCAGAGCUGCUAUGGAGCCAAUCGAUUCAACAAGCGAGGGAUUCAUAGUCAAGGCUCCCAUUCUUGACUCGAAGACACAAAAUCACACCUGCUCCUCACCUAAGAUUUGCAUUGGUUGCAACCUCCACCCCUGUUCCAGAUUUUUCACAGGGUAUAGAUCGAGAUGAGUUCCCGUUCGGAUUUGGUCAGCUUCGUUGAGUCGUUGCUCGGAGUCUCGCUCGGUGGUUCUGUGUCUCCGUGCUACUAUUGUGAAGGACGAGGAGGAUGAGGCUGAGGCUCUUGCCGGUAAAACUAAGGCUAUCUUUUAUGGGACUCAGACUGGAUCCGCUGAGGAUUUGCUAAGGCUUCAUAUUUCGAAGUCCAAACUAUCGCAUCCUCCUUCCCCUUAAGAUCUCGUGUGCAGAAAUGGAGAAUGUCAUGGAAAGGACAAAACGUGAAGCAGAGAACUCGAAAAAGUUUGCCAUACAGGAAGGAGUGCCACUGCAUGCUCUUUCUUACUCCAGAAAAUGAUUUUGCUGGCAAGGAUCAGAAAAUCUCCCUGGAAGAAAUCAGGGAAACAACAGCAAAUAUGUGAUGUCCAGUGUACUGCGUUGUAUUGUAUUCAUUUCUUUGAUGCGCUAUCACCUUGUAUUUGGCCAAAAAAAUACCACACGUGUGGGUGUAUAUUAUAUGCUACAUGCUGUAUGCUAAUCACAAAACAAAUCUAAUUUCUCUA